UUGACGGGGCCGCACAAGCGGUGGAGCAUGUGGUUUAAUUCGAUGAUACGCGAGGAACCUUACCUGGGUUUAAAUGCAGGACGCAAGUCACGUGAAAGCGAGACCCUCCUUCGGGACGGACUGCAAGGUGCUGCAUGGUUGUCGUCAGCUCGUGCCGUGAGGUGUCGGGUUAAGUCCCAUAACGAGCGCAACCCUCAUCGUUAGUUACCAGCGGAUCAUGCCGGGGACUCUAACGAGACUGCCACCGUAAGGUGAGAGGAAGGUGGGGAUGACGUCAAAUCAGCACGGCCCUUAUAUCCAGGGCUACACACGUGUUACAAUGGCCAGUACAAAGGGCAGCUACCUGGUGACAGGAUGCUAAUCUCGAAAACUGGUCUCAGUUCGGAUCGAAGUCUGCAACUCGACUUCGUGAAGUUGGAUUCGCUAGUAAUCGCGCAUCAGCAAUGGCGCGGUGAAUACGUUCCCGGGCCUU
rnacentral:rRNA from 1 species